rnacentral:rRNA from 1 species
AUUGAACGCUGGCGGCAUGCCUUACACAUGCAAGUCGAACGGCAGCACGGGAGCAAUCCUGGUGGCGAGUGGCGAACGGGUGAGUAAUAUAUCGGAACGUGCCCAGUCGUGGGGGAUAACGUAGCGAAAGCUACGCUAAUACCGCAUACGAUCUAUGGAUGAAAGCGGGGGAUCGCAAGACCUCGCGCGAUUGGAGCGGCCGAUAUCAGAUUAGGUAGUUGGUGAGGUAAAGGCUCACCAAGCCGACGAUCUGUAGCUGGUUUGAGAGAACGACCAGCCACACUGGGACUGAGACACGGCCCAGACUCCUACGGGAGGCAGCAGUGGGGAAUUUUGGGACAAUGGGCGAAAGCCUGAUCCAGCAAUGCCGCGUGCAGGAAGAAGGCC